rnacentral:rRNA from 1 species
GAUGAACGCUGCCAGAAUGCUUAACACAUGCAAGUCUACUUGAACUUCGGUUUGGGUGGCGGACGGGUGAGUAACGCGUAAAGAACUUGCCUCACAGUUAGGGACAACAUUUGGAAACGAAUGCUAAUACCUGAUAUUAUGAUUUUAGGGCAUCCUAAGAUUAUGAAAGCUAUAUGCACUGUGAGAGAGCUUUGCGUCCCAUUAGCUAGUUGGAGAGGUAACGGCUCACCAAGGCGAUGAUGGGUAGCCGGCCUGAGAGGGUGAACGGCCACAAGGGGACUGAGACACGGCCCUUACUCCUACGGGAGGCAGCAGUGGGGAAUAUUGGACAAUGGACCAAAAGUCUGAUCCAGCAAUUCUGUGUGCACGAUGACGUUUUUCGGAAUGUAAAGUGCUUUCAGUUGGGAAGAAAAAAAUGACGGUACCAACAGAAGAAGUGACGGCUAAAUACGUG